rnacentral:rRNA from 1 species
UACGGGGGGGGGCAAGCGUUGUUCGGAAUUACUGGGCGUAAAGGGUUCGUAGGUGGCCUACUAAGUCAGACGUGAAAUCCCUCAGCUUAACUGGGGAACUGCGUCUGAUACUGGAUGGCUUGAGAUUGGGAGAGGGAUGCGGAAUUCCAGGUGUAGCGGUGAAAUGCGUAGAUAUCUGGAGGAACACCGGUGGCGAAGGCGGCAUCCUGGACCAACACUGACGCUGAGGAGCGAAAGCCAGGGGAGCAAACGGG